UAGUUACUAAUGCACAAGGACAGAUUAUCGGGACCAUUCCACUGAUGCCUAAUCCGGGGCCAUCGAGCCAAGCAGCAAGCGGCACUCAGGGCUUGCAAGUGCAACCAAUCACCCCCCAGCUCCUAACAAACGCCCAGGGCCAGAUCAUCGCCACAGUCAUUGGGAACCAGAUCCUGCCCGUGAUCAACACCCAGGGCAUCACGCUGUCACCCAUCAAGCCCG
rnacentral:lncRNA from 1 species